AAGUCGUAACAAGGUUUCCGUAGGUGAACCUGCGGAAGGAUCAUUAACAAAUCAUUUGAGUGCGGUAGCAGUGAGGAGUCACUUCCUCGCUUGCUGCUUGCACACAUAAGCCCUAGAGCGCAGCACUUAACCGUGCCGCGCUUUAGUACGGUCAUUCUUCGGAAUCGACCACAUUAACGCUUGUUUGUUUGACAGAGUAUUAUGAUACACAUAAUAAUAGACAACUUUUAACAAUGGAUCUCUUGGCUCUU
rnacentral:misc_RNA from 1 species